rnacentral:rRNA from 1 species
CCCUUAGAUGUUCUGGGCCGCACACGCGCUACACUGAAGGAGGCAGCGUGUACUCCUGGAUCGAAAGAUUUGGGUAACCCGCGAAUCUCCUUCGUGCUAGGGAUUGAGGUUUGCAAUUAUCCUUCAUGAACGAGGAAUUCCCAGUAAGUGCAAGUCAUAAGCUUGCGCUGACUACGUCCCUGCCCUUUGUACACACCGCCCGUCGCUCCUACCGAUUGAAUGGUCCGGUGAAGCGCUCGGACCGCGGCCUCUUGACGGUUUUCCGUCGAUUGGCUGUGGGAAGUUCGUUAAACCUUAUCAUUUAGAGGAAGGAGAAGUCGUANCA